rnacentral:lncRNA from 1 species
GGCUAUCCCAAGAAGACGGGGGCUGGGAGCUGAUUUUUGGAAGAAGAGUUUGGCCUUUAACUAAAUCAGUUGGAGUGAAAAUAAAAAGACACUUCUUCCCAUGGCAUCACCAAAUCAGGCUUCCCCCAUCACCACAGAGUUGAGGCAGCCCCAGCUCACCUUUCCCUCUGCUCCUGACUGAAAUUCCAGCUGGAAGAGCAGCCCUUCCCUGCUUGAGAAGCACAUGAGACGGACUCGGUAUGCGAUGUCGCACCUGGGAUACAUCACACUCCUCAGGAACAUCUGCAGGCCACCAGCAGGGCUCAAGAGGAUGUGAGGAGGCCCUCAAACAACCCCAUCCCACUGAGUGGGACCUCUCUGCGUGGUCACCCUGGAGAGAGGCACCAGCUGGGACUAAGUUCAUCAGCCAGCUUUUGUCCAGGAGCAGCCCUGCAGCAGCCCCGCUGGUUGGAUGGAGACCGACGGAAGCUUCCCGGUGUGGCAGCCCCAGGCUGCAGCAGGCUGCAAUAUGUGAGGAGAGCUGGUGCUGCCCUGCUGCUCAAAUGGCAAGAAUGUGA